GGCAAUUUAUAUUCUAGAACAAAUUAUCUGCAGUGUUUUUUCUUUAAUGUCUAUCUGUUCAAAUCAUAAUCAAGAAAUAUUUAUAACAUUUAACAUGCUGAGACAAACAGAAAAGAGUCUUUUUUAAAUAUAAAGUUAAAAUUCAAAUUGUCAUAAGAGUUAUGCAACAGUUAAAAUAGGCGGUUCUUCCCUGAUGUUUGACUAUCAAAAACUUGUUUAAUCUGCAUUCCUGCAGUCACACCUUUUCUUCCUUCACUUAACUUUUGCUUUGCAUUCAUGGCGCAGCAGAAAUCUCAGCUGAUGAAUCUGUCUCUGAUGUUUUAAGCAAACUGACAUCAUGGCAAGCGCUUCAGCAGAUGCAGUGUCAACACAGAUACGGUGCAGGUAAUUUGAGUUUGAGACCCCUGCUCUAGCCUAUCUGAAAUGAAGACCGAUCCGCCUGCGUCGUCUUGUUUCUGAGAUGUUUCUUGUUGCUCUACCCUGUAUCUUCUUAGAGUAGAAAUGUAUUGCCCUUUUGUGGGGUCACCAUCUUGUUUUCAUGUUCUGACUUAUUUCUAUUGCUCUGUUUGGAGGAACACUAAUCCAUGUGAUGUUGCAGAGAAAUUGUCGAGAGGACAUUUCAUUAAUGUUUGGAUGUUUUCAUUUUCAAUAUUUUUAGCAAGUUUCUCAGAAAUACAUUUUUUUGUUUGUUCUUACGAAUUUUUCCUGCGAUUCAAUGUUCUGCAGCAACUCUGAACAGGCAGUGUUGAGGCCUUUUUUUCCCCCAAUGAAAGGCUUUUUUGAUGUCAUGAUAUCCAUUGACACUUAUUUUUUAAUAAAGGUCCUGAUUGAAUUGUCUUAACUAUUUUUUCCAUGUAUUAAUAUUGAAGUUUGAGGCUUAUUAUCAUGUAGAUUCUUUGUAAAUAUUAGUUUGCUUAAACUCAAGUAACUUGGCAAUAGAGGUUGAGAAAAAAUAUAUAUGUUGCGCUAACUUGAUAAAAUAAGUUCAACCAAUAUCUUUUUUAAGUUAUCUUAAGUAAUGUUUUCAAGUCCACAUAACUUGAUAAAGAAAGUAGAGUCAACAAACUGCUUGUUGUAUCAAUUGUGUAUUUCAUGUUGAGCCAACUUGAUUCACAUUUGUAGGAACUUGAUAAAAUACAUUCAACCAACAUCUCUUACAGUUAGCUCAAAUACUAUUUUGUAGUCCAACCAACUUGAUAAAGGAAGUUCAGUCAACAGACUACAUGUUGCAUCAACUCAUAUUUUGUAGUGUAAUAAACUUGACACUAUAAAUUGACUCAA